rnacentral:tRNA from 1 species
GGGGUUGUGGCUCAGCAGUAGAGCGCUUGCCUAUCAUGUGCAAGACACUGGGUUCGAUCCUCAGCACCA